rnacentral:rRNA from 1 species
GACGAACGCUGGCGGCGUGCUUAACACAUGCAAGUCGGACGGAAAGGCCCUGCUUUUGUGGGGUGCUCGAGUGGCGAACGGGUGAGUAACACGUGAGUAACCUGCCCUUGACUUUGGGAUAACUUCAGGAAACUGGGGCUAAUACCGGAUAGGAGCUCCUGCUGCAUGGUGUGGGUUGGAAAGUUUCGGCGGUUGGGGAUGGACUCGCGGCUUAUCAGCUUGUUGGUGGGGUAGUGGCUUACCAAGGCUUUGACGGGUAGCCGGCCUGAGAGGGUGACCGGCCACAUUGGGACUGAGAUACGGCCCAGACUCCUACGGGAGGCAGCAGUGGGGAAUAUUGCACAAUGGGCGGAAGCCUGAUGCAGCAACGCCGCGUGCGGGAUGACGGCCUUCGGGUUGUAAACCGCUUUCGCCUGUGACGAAGCGUGAGUGACGGUAAUGGGUAAAGAAGCACCGGCUAACUACGUG